CAGCAGUGAGGAAUAUUGGUCAAUGGGCGUAAGCCUGAACCAGCCAAGUCGCGUGAGGGAAGACGGUCCUACGGAUUGUAAACCUCUUUUGCCGGGGAGCAACGGGGUCCUUGCGAGGGCCCUAUGAGAGUACCCGGAGAAAAAGCAUCGGCUAACUCCGUGCCAGCAGCCGCGGUAAUACGGAGGAUGCGAGCGUUAUUCGGAUUUAUUGGGUUUAAAGGGUGCGUAGGCGGGCUGUUAAGUCAGCGGUCAAAUGUCGGGGCUCAACCCCGGCCUGCCGUUGAAACUGGCGGCCUCGAGUGGGCGAGAAGUAUGCGGAAUGCGUGGUGUAGCGGUGAAAUGCAUAGAUAUCACGCAGAACUCCGAUUGCGAAGGCAGCAUACCGGCGCCCUACUGACGCUGAGGCACGAAAGCGUGGGUAUCGAACAGGAUUAGA
rnacentral:rRNA from 1 species